rnacentral:rRNA from 1 species
CCUCUAGAUAGAAAAUAGGUGCCCGUACCGCAAACCGACACAGGUAGUCAAGAUGAGAAUUCUAAGGUGAGCGAGCGAACUCUCGUUAAGGAACUCGGCAAAAUGACCCCGUAACUUCGGGAGAAGGGGUGCUCUUUAGGGUUAACGCCCAGAAGAGCCGCAGUGAAUAGGCCCAAGCGACUGUUUAUCAAAAACACAGGUCUCUGCUAAACCGUAAGGUGAUGUAUAGGGGCUGACGCCUGCCCGGUGCUGGAAGGUUAAGAGGAGUGGUUAGCUUCUGCGAAGCUACGAAUCGAAGCCCCAGUAAACGGCGGCCGUAACUAUAACGGUCCUAAGGUAGCGAAAUUCCUUGUCGGGUAAGUUCCGACCCGCACGAAAGGCGUAACGAUUUGGGCACUGUCUCAACGAGAGACUCGGUGAAAUCAUAGUACCUGUGAAGAUGCAGGUUACCCGCGACAGGACGGAAAGACCCCGUGGAGCUUUACUGUAGCCUGAUAUUGAAAUUCGGCACAGCUUGUACAGGAUAGGUAGGAGCCUUUGAAACGUGAGCGCUAGCUUACGUGGAGGCGCUGGUGGGAUACUACCCUAGCUGUGUUGGCUUUCUAACCCGCACCACUUAUCGUGGUGGGAGACAGUGUCAAGCGGGCAGUUUGACUGGGGCGGUCGCCUCCUAAAAGGUAACGGAGGCGCUCAAAGGUUCCCUCAGAAUGGUUGGAAAUCAUUCAUAGAGUGUAAAGGCAUAAGGGAGCUUGACUGCGAGACCUACAAGUCGAGCAGGGUCGAAAGACGGACUUAGUGAUCCGGUGGUUCCGCAUGGAAGGGCCAUCGCUCAACGGAUAAAAGCUACCCCGGGGAUAACAGGCUUAUCUCCCCCAAGAGUUCACAUCGACGGGGAGGUUUGGCACCUCGAUGUCGGCUCAUCGCAUCCUGGGGCUGUAGUCGGUCCCAAGGGUUGGGCUGUUCGCCCAUUAAAGCGGUACGCGAGCUGGGUUCAGAACGUCGUGAGACAGUUCGGUCCCUAUCCGUCGUGGGCGUAGGAAAUUUGAGAGGAGCUGUCCUUAGUACGAGAGGACCGGGAUGGACAUACCUCUGGUGUACCAGUUGUCGUGCCAACGGCAUAGCUGGGUAGCUAUGUGUGGACGGGAUAAGUGCUGAAAGCAUCUAAGCAUGAAGCCCCCCUCAAGAUGAGAUUUCCCAACUUCGGUUAUAAGAUCCCUCAAAGAUGAUGAGGUUAAUAGGUUCGAGGUGGAAGCAUGGUGACAUGUGGAGCUGACGAAUACUAAUCGAUCGAAGACUUAAUCAA